CAGGGAAUAUUGCACAAUGGACGGAAGUCUGAUGCAGCGACGCCGCGUGGAUGAUGAAGGCCUUCGGGUUGUAAAAUCCUUUACGGGGUGACGAGGAAGGACGGUAGCCCCGGAACAAGCGUCGGCUAACUACGUGCCAGCAGCCGCGGUAAGACGUAGGACGCAAGCGUUAUCCGGAUUUACUGGGCGUAAAGCGUCUGUAGGCGGAUGAGUAAGUUGGGCGUGAAAGCUCCGGGCUCAACCCGGAGAGGCCGUUCAAUACUGCUGAUCUAGAGGAGGCCAGAGGGGAGUGGAAUUCCUGGAGUAGCGGUAAAAUGCGCAGAUAUCAGGAAGAACACCAGUGGCGAAGGCGGCUCCCUAGGGCCCACCUGACGCUGAGAGACGACAGCUAGGGGAGCGAACA
rnacentral:rRNA from 1 species